UAAUACAGAGGUCCCGAGCGUUGUUCGGAUUCACUGGGCGUAAAGGGUGCGUAGGUGGUUGUGCAAGUCUGAUGUGAAAUCUCCGGGCUCAACCCGGAAAUGGCAUUGGAAACUGCAUGGCUAGAGGAUUGGAGGGGGGACUGGAAUACUUGGUGUAGCAGUGAAAUGCGUAGAUAUCAAGUGGAACACCAGUGGCGAAGGCGAGUCCCUGGACAAUACCUGACACUGAGGCACGAAAGCUAGGGGAGCAAACAGGAUUAGAUACCCUGGUAGUCCUAGCCGUAAACGGUGCUUGCUUGCUGUAAAAGGAAUCGACCCCUUUUGUGGCGAAGCCAACGCGAUAAGCAAGCCGCCUGGGAAGUACGGUCGCAAGAUUA
rnacentral:rRNA from 1 species